rnacentral:rRNA from 1 species
UACGGAGGGUGCAAGCGUUAAUCGGAAUUACUGGGCGUAAAGGGUGCGUAGGCGGUUGUUUAAGUCUGUUGUGAAAUCCCCGGGCUCAACCUGGGAAUGGCAAUGGAUACUGGGCAGCUAGAGUGUGUCAGAGGAUGGUGGAAUUCCCGGUGUAGCGGUGAAAUGCGUAGAGAUGUGGAGGAACACCGAUGGCGAAGGCAGCCCCCCUGGGUCAAGAUUGACGCUCGAUGCACGAAAGCGUGGGGAGCAAACAGG